AGACCCGAAACCCGGUGAUCUAGCCAUGGGCAGGUUGAAGGUUGGGUAACACUAACUGGAGGACCGAACCGACUAAUGUUGAAAAAUUAGCGGAUGACCUGUGGCUGGGGGUGAAAGGCCAAUCAAACCGGGAGAUAGCUGGUUCUCCCCGAAAGCUAUUUAGGUAGCGCCUCGUGAAUUCAUCUCCGGGGGUAGAGCACUGUUUCGGCUAGGGGGCCAUCCCGGCUUACCAACCCGAUGCAAACUGCGAAUACCGGAGAAUGUUAUCACGGGAGACACACGGCGGGUGCUAACGUCCGUCGUGAAGAGGGAAACAACCCAGACCGCCAGCUAAGGUCCCAAAGUCAUGGUUAAGUGGGAAACGAUGUGGGAAGGCCCAGACAGCCAGGAUGUUGGCUUAGAAGCAGCCAUCAUUUAAAGAAAGCGUAAUAGCUCACUGGUCGAGUCGGCCUGCGCGGAAGAUGUAACGGGGCUAAACCAUGCACCGAAGCUGCGGCAGCGACACUCAGGUGUCGUUGGGUAGGGGAGCGUUCUGUAAGCCUGCGAAGGUGGCCUGUGAGGGUUGCUGGAGGUAUCAGAAGUGCGAAUGCUGACAUAAGUAACGAUAAAGCGGGUGAAAAGCCCGCUCGCCGGAAGACCAAGGGUUCCUGUCCAACGUUAAUCGGGGCAGGGUGAGUCGACCCCUAAGGCGAGGCCGAAAGGCGUAGUCGAUGGGAAACGGGUUAAUAUUCCCGUACUUGGUGUUACUGCGAAGGGGGGACGGAGAAGGCUAUGUUGGCCGGGCGACGGUUGUCCCGGUUUAAGCGUGUAGGUG
rnacentral:rRNA from 1 species